rnacentral:rRNA from 1 species
UACGUAGGGCGCAAGCGUUGUCCGGAAUUAUUGGGCGUAAAGAGCUCGUAGGCGGUUUGUCGCGUCUGCUGUGAAAUCAUCAAGGCUCAACCUUGAGCUUGCAGUGGGUACGGGCAGACUAGAGUGUGGUAGGGGAGACUGGAAGUUCCUGGUGUAGCGGUGAAAUGACGCAGAUAUCAGGAGGAACACCGAUGGCGAAGGCAGGUCUCUGGGCCACUACUGACGCUGAGAAGCGAAAGCAUGGGGAGCAAACAGG